AUGUUUUCCGGAGCAGGGCACUUGAGAUGUUCAAAAUGCUUCCUGAGAGAGGGCCAAAGGGUGUUCCUGGGCGCCCUGGGAACUCAAGACAUGUGCUCUGGGGCAGGAAGAGGGCAGGUGAGGACCCGGCUCAGGGUCUGCUGGGAGAGGGAAGGAGGGAGCCAGUCAAGGGCAGGAGGAAAUGGAGUUGCAGAUCAUUUGGUGACCAAUGGUGAUUCUGGGUGACUUCCAUCCCAGCAUAGGGAUUCCUCUGGAUAGGAUCAUAGGGCUGGCUCUGGCAAGGGGACAAAAGUCCUUAGUCAUGUGCAUGUAUGUCAGCAUGUCAAUUUUUCAUGGUGUACGCGUCAUCUCACUGACAGGUGCUGCCCGAUCACCUUAACAGCCCUCUGGGACCCGUGGCCAUGUGUUCACAACAGCGGCCACGGCAGGUGUUUCCUGAGCUCUUGUCGUGACCUCUGUCGGCUCCAUCUCAUUGAUCCUCCCAGCAACCCACAGGGAGGAGAGGUUUCUGAACAGAUGAGGAAACUGGGGCGUUUGGCUAAAGCCGUUGAUUUGCCAGAGCCCCACAGCAGUAGCUUCCCAUAGAGGCAGAUGCCACACAAGCCACCCACCCAGAUGCAAAGCCUGAUUCCCUGUGUGGACUGGAUGGCAGUUUCCCAGCUGGAGUUCUCUGGGCCAAGCUGCCUGUGACAUGGGGUUGGGGGUGCUCCAGAGAGUCAUGGCUGUCCCCAGAGGAAGUGACUUGUGGCUGACUGCUCAAGGGGAAGUCCUGGCGGUGGAGUCAUCAGCAUUCAUUCAAAUAAGCCAAAUGCGCAGAUGAUCUUUAAGAGGAGCUCGUCUGAUUUGGCACUUGGAUUCUGGGAGGAACAGGAGGAAGAACUCUCUCAGACUGGGAAUCAAGUUUUAGCUCCCCUUGGGGCUAUUAUUACCUAAGAAACAUGAUCAGGCUCCUGGGGGAAGAAUCGAGCUGAGGACAGCGGUGAGUGUGACCCCAGCUCCUCCACAGGCCCGUGUGGCCUGCAGCCUCCAGGACCACCUGGUGCCCCCCACUGCUGCCAGCAUGGCCCCUCAUUGUGCCCACCCCUGGAAUAUGGGGCUGGAUCUCAGGACUCACUUCUCAUGGGCAGACCAUGGACUACAGCAAAGGUGACAAGAUGUUGCUUCUGUGAUGAGGCCUCAUGUCUCGCUCACUGCCACAGAUGCCUUUGCUUGGUCACUCACCCUGAAGAAAGUCACUGUCCUUGGGACAGGCCCCCACAUAAGGAAUGGAGGUCUCCAGCCAACAGCCAUGUGAGUGAGAAGAGGACCAAAUCCUCCCCCAAUCAGGCCCUGAGGUGACCACAGGCUGUCACCUUGAUUGCAGCUUGUGAAAGGCCCGGAGCCAGGGGGACCAGCUGGCCACUCCCUGACCCACAGGGACCCGUAUCACCAGCUCUGAAGGGCCUCCAGGAAGGCUUGGCGGACUGCUUGAUGCAGAAUGAGAGGGUGGGGUUAAAGUGGGCAGAUGACGAGAGACGGCAUCAGCUGUGAGCCCGCGGAGGCCAGGGCCAGGUGGAGGUCCUGGGUGCUGCGUGAGAAGGCCUAGAUCAUCCAGACACAGAACAAGGGCAGAGCCGUCUUGUUAAUCCGGAUGGAGAUGGACGUCAUCUAUAUGUGUUGCGUUAGGCUGCUGAACUUGGGGAAAUUUUUUGCACAGCUGUAGAGAGCCGACACACCCAAACUCUCCUGGUGGUGUUUAAGAGCACUGGCCCCGAAGCCAGAUGCUGGUGUGCAAAUCCUGGCUCUGCCAUUUGCAAGCUGCACAACCUUAAGUAAAUUCGUUCAUUCUGUGUGCCUCAGGCCCUUGACCUGUAAAACGGGAAUAAGAAUAACGUGUGUGUCAUGGGGUGACUGUGAGGAUUAAAUGAGAUAGCCCCUGCACAUGGCUUAGCCUCGUGUUAGCACUCAGUAUCAGCUCCCAUCACCACAAUUCCUGUUGUCUACCCUUGAAGGCCAGCCAAACACCCAUCCCGCCUACAACUCCUCCUCACUGCCCCAGCGUAUGCUGGCCUCCCCUUGGCACCGCACACUCUGGUUCUCCAUUAAAAACUCUCGAAUUUGUUCUCUGAGGGUCUCAGAUGUGUA